rnacentral:rRNA from 1 species
AUUAAAAACCAAUGCCCUUCGGGGCUCUCUGGUGAUUCAUGAUAACUUCUCGAAUCGCAUGGCCUUGCGCCGGCGAUGGUUCAUUCAAAUUUCUUCCCUAUCAACUUUCGAUGUUUGGGUAUUGGCCAAACAUGGUUGCAACGGGUAACGGAGGGUUAGGGCUCGACCCCGGAGAAGGAGCCUGAGAAACGGCUACUACAUCCAAGGAAGGCAGCAGGCGCGCAAAUUACCCAAUCCCGACUCGGGGAGGUAGUGACAAUAAAUACUGAUACAGGGUUCUUUUGGAUCUUGUAAUUGGAAUGAGUACAAUUUAAAUCCCUUAACGAGGAACAAUUGGAGGGCAAGUCUGGUGCCAGCAGCCGCGGUAAUUCCAGCUCCAAUAGCGUAUAUUAAAGUUGUUGUGGUUAAAAAGCUCGUAGUUGAACCUUGGGCCUGGCUGGCCGGUCCGCCUCACCGCGUGUACUGGUCCGGCCGGGCCUUUCCCUCUGUGGAACCCUAUGCCCUUCACUGGGUGUAGC